rnacentral:rRNA from 1 species
AAACCAACAGGGAUUACCUCAGUAACGGCGAGUGAAGCGGUAACAGCUCAAAUUUGAAAUCUGGGUCUUUCAGGCUCCGAGUUGUAAUUUGUAGAAGAUGCUUCGGGUGCGGCUCCGGUCUAAGUUCCUUGGAACAGGACGUCAUAGAGGGUGAGAAUCCCGUAUGUGAUCGGUUGCUUGCGCCUAUGUGAAGCUCUUUCGACGAGUCGAGUUGUUUGGGAAUGCAGCUCAAAAUGGGUGGUAAAUUUCAUCUAAAGCUAAAUAUUGGCCAGAGACCGAUAGCGCACAAGUAGAGUGAUCGAAAGAUGAAAAGCACUUUGGAAAGAGAGUUAAACAGUACGUGAAAUUGUUGAAAGGGAAGCGCUUGCAACCAGACUUGCGCGUUGCCGAUCAUCCGGGGUUCUCCCCGGUGCACUCGGCCUCGCUCAGGCCAGCAUCGGUUUUGGUGGUGGGAUAAAGGCCUUGGGAAUGUAGCUCCUUUCGGGGAGUGUUAUAGCCCUCGGUGCAAUGCCGCCUACCGGGACCGAGGACCGCGCUUCGGCUAGGAUGCUGGCGUAAUGGUUGUAAGCGAC